AUUGAACGCUGGCGGCAGGCCUCACACAUGCAAGUCGAGCGAGCGGCGGACGGGUGAGUAAUCUUUGGGAAUCUAGCUAAUGGAGGGGGAUAACUACGGGAAACUGUAGCUAAUACCGCGUACCAUAGGAUGAGCCCAAGUGGGAUUAGGUAGUUGGUGAGGUAAAGGCUCACCAAGCCGACGAUCUCUAGCUGGUCUGAGAGGAUGACCAGCCACGCUGGGACUGAGACACGCCCCAGAUUCCUACGGUAGACGGCAGUUGAGAAGAGUGCGCAAUGGGGGCAACCCAGAUUCAGCAAUAACGCGUGUAUGAAGAAGGCCUUAGGGUUGGAAAGUACUUUCAGCGGGGAGACGGUACACGAAGAGGGAGCACCGGCUAAGUCCGUGCCAGCAGCCGCGGUAAUUC
rnacentral:rRNA from 1 species